GGCGAAUCCAGUUGGAUUUUUUAAAAAAGCAGCAAUGGUAAGGAUUGUGUUACUAGGAGAAAUGAAAAACAGUUUCUGCAAGCAAAAAUACUCCACUUAGAUCCGCUUGGUUUUAUCGCAAGUAUUCAGCAAUAAGAUGGAAAGGGAGAAGGUGUAUAAUUGGGCUAUGUUCCCCUACCCCUGAGCUUCCCGUUCUUCUGCAAAAGAAUUAGAGCUAGCAUCAAUAGAAGACAGCCCAAUAGAGCAGAGUUAUCUGCAUAUCAAACUAAAAGAAGCAAUUCCAAAAGAAUAAAGCUACUGGCAGGAGAAAUAAGCAUUUAUACAAUCAGCAAUGCGCAGAAGCACACGCACUUGCGGCCCCAUUACAAACUGGUAGUAAAGACAGGACGUGACAACAUGCAAGUGAAGAAAAGAUUGAAGAGGUCUGAAGCUGGCACACAUCCCUGCUUCACCUCAGUGGAAGCAGCAAAUGUAAG